AGCAGGGUAGAGAAGUCGGUAUCUCGUCGGGCUCAUAACCCGAAGGUCGCCAGUUCGAGCCUGGCCCUUGCUACCA
rnacentral:tRNA from 1 species